AAUUUUGAGUAGCUUGACAUAUAUAUUUAUUCAUUUAUUUGUAUAACAGAAGUAAAUGUACAAUAAUUAUUUUUCCAUCAUUACAAGAAAAAACUAGCACAACCAAUAAAAGUGUAACAUUCGACAGGUACCGUAGCUAGAUUGUGGAUAUCUUUCUCUAGGAGAAGAGUUAAGCUUAAUGGGUGAAAGUAAGGGAGUUUUUCAACAAAUUUAUUAUUUUAUUAUGUAGCUACAUAAAAGGGAAGUGAUUACGAAAACGAGGGUAGAGUGUGAAAAAAGAUUGAGAUUGUGCUGGUGGAACUUUGUGUAUAUCAACUUUAAUCUCCGUCGCCGCCGCCGCGAGGUGUAGAAGGACGAGGCGGUGAUCGCCCUGGUGUAGAAGGACGCGGGGGCGAUACCCGUGGGGGUGGAGGAGAAGGAGGAGGUGGAGGUGAGGGAGGGGUGGGGUGGAGGAGAGUGGUGGUGGCGGAGAAGGCGGUGGUGGUGAGGGUGGAGGGGGCGGAGGUGAAGGUGGUGGGGGUGACGGUGGUGGUGGCGAACGUGGGGUGGGGGUGUGAAGGUGGUGGUGGCGGCGAACGUGGGGGUGGGG
rnacentral:lncRNA from 1 species